GGAGGGCUAGUCUAAUGGUAAGGCACCUGACUUGAAAUCAGGCGGGUGAAAGCCCAUGGGGGUUCGAGUCCCUCGCCCUCCGUCA
rnacentral:tRNA from 1 species